GAGCCCCGCAAAGCAGCUGCAGCUGCUCGACAGGCACACGCGGACUUAGUGCCACGCUGGUUGUGGGAUGUGCCGCUCACCAAAGGCAAAGUUCUUUUCCUGGUGCUGGCCUCCCGACAAGGGGCAACAGUCGUGGGCCAGCCAGCGUAGGUUCCCCUUCCCACCACCCAAACUACCCUCACAAAUGGCCCGAGAGUGUUGCGACUGUCUUGACUCGAGACCUUCUGACUCACUGUGGUCAAAACACUUCCCCUAUGAUCUUGUCACUGCUCCAACGGGCUGUGGGAAGGAGCGGGAGGGGGGGGGGCAGCAGCUGAGCUUGCCCUCCCGAGAACCCUCGCAUCCAAUCGACCCCUAGCCUCACUCCCACCGGCGCUCCUGUGCGCUCUCCGAGGAAUCUCUGGAGACAAGGCCUCUCUUUGUACCCCCUUCCUUCCCUCCAGCCCACACUCAGCCUGAGAGCUCUUGGAGGGAUUUCUCACGCUGCGACCGGAAAAAGUGAAGAGUGUGGGGGAUGGGUUGCUUUCGGUAGGGGAGGGGGCUAGGUAGGUCAGGCAUGGAAGUGGGGAUCGGUCCUUGUGGGCUGAUCUCUCAUCCCCUAGCAGCCCCUCCAUUGCCCGCGCGGCAGGAGGAGGCAAAGGAUGCCCACCUCGGGUCACUAGGACACGAGUGGAUAGGUCUUCAGAAAGGGCAGAAGUCCCUCUUGGAAGUGGGAGUCUCGGAGGUUGGAGGGUCCUCUGCUAAAGGAAAUAAGAGGUACCCAGCUUGGAAAUACCAGCACAAAGGACGUGCCAUGGGUGGAGCGUCUAAAGGGAUGGAGAGCUAGCUGGACCUUGGGGCAGCGGGGCCGAGGAGCUCCCCACACUCCAGACAGCAAAGUCUGCACAAUGGGGCUGGUCUGGGCAGGGCCGGCACGGGGACCCGCCAAAUCAGCCAGGCGUGGCUCCCUAGCCUGCACCAGCCCAUUUCUCCGGAAGCGCUCCCCACCCCCAUCCUCCCCCUCACCCCCAGCCCAGCGGUCCCGAGGAAGCACAGCUAGGACCGCUGGACUACUUACCCGGCGGUUCUGGGGCUGGAAGAGCCGCUUCCUGUCGGAAGGGUGUCCCGGGGCUAGGGCGGAGGAAGGGGUGGCGCGCGGAACGGAGCCGGGGAGUUCUAAGGGGUCUGGACCGCAGCGCCAGCGCAGAACACAGCGGAAGGCUUCUCCGCACUUCAUUACCCCGCAGUCCUCCCCUUGGGACAGCCCUGGGCCCCGCCCAUGCCUGCAGGGUGGUGCUGCAGGGCGUGGCUCCGCUUACACCCCGGGCUGCUGGGGGCCUCCAAAAGGUCUGGUCUGGCAGGGACAGGGAAAGCAAGGCCCCUGAGUGACCGUGCCUGAGUGCGCCCCGGUGGUACCAAGCUGCCAGCCACUUCCGAGAGCAGGCUGAGCGGCCGCUAGCCUCCUGCAAGAAGUUUGUUGAAGCUGCAGGGUCCGAGAGUGGCGCCAGAUGUCUGAGCUCUCUACAUCUCUCCCACCAAGAAAUCCACACCCCUGGCGCCACUGAGGAUCCAGUUGCGGGGUCCAUCUCUCCUGGGACAGGUCAGCCGGCUCAAUGGCUCAGGCUAAGGACAAAGCUUAAAAGUUCUGGUCCGCAUCUUUCAACCAGUGGGUGAAUCCACUUCUAGUCCAGACCUUUGAGGCAGGAAGGCAUGCCCCUUCGACCUGGAUCUUGAGGCAGGAAGCCAUACCUUUCAUCUGGGCCACACCUUCUGCCAGAAGCCUAUGUAGGACAUGGAAGAAGGAAGGUUUGCUUUGCCCGCUUGCCCUCACCUUGCCAGCACAUCCCUCCUUCACUGGCAUUGGAGCCGACUUCUUCAGGAUUCCAGCAUAUACAGGAGACCAGCUGAGACAUGUAGCUGAUGUCUGAGACUGAGCAACUUCUGGAUUCUUGGACCUUCCAUUCAUAGCCUGCCAUUGUUGGAUUAGUUGGACUGUAGCAUCUGUUCAGAUGAUACAGUCAAAGCUGGGACUGGAUCUCAUGCUGGAAACGGUCUGGGAGGGCUUAUAAUGUGGCCAGAUCAACCAAGAAACCGGACUUGACUUUUCAAAGUUAAACGUAAGUAUUUCUUUCAGUGAUUGAAAACCGUUGUCUGAACUACAUGAUAGAUGAAUCUAGGUUUUUAACCUAUAAAUCGUAUGAAAUCUAAAUGCAAAUCAAAUACUACUAGCAAACAUUGUUGUCAAAAUUGAGAUAUACGGCAAGUAUGAAAUAUACAACCAAUUUUGAGGAUUUUGUAUCAAGGGAGGAUGUAAAAUCUCAUUAAUAUAUUUUAAUAUUCAUUACUUGUUGAAAUGUUUGGCAAUAAAUGUUCUAGUCACAUUCUGUUACUGUGUCAAACACCAUGACCAAAGCAACUUGGGGGAAGAAAGGGUUCCUUUGGCUUUUACUUUAAGUCAUGAUCCAUCACCGAGGGAAGGCAGAGCAGGCGCUCAGGCAGGAGCUGUGGAGGAAGCCGGCCUGCCAGCGUGCUCAAUGACUUCCUCACCGGCUCACGGCUAGCUAGCUUUGUAACAGCCCACCAUGGGCCGGGCCCUCGUACAUCCGUUAGUGAUCAAGACAAUUCGUCACAGGUGUGUGCCCACAGACCCGCUUGAUCUAGGCAACCCCGCAAUUGCUUCUCACAUGACUCAGUGGAGGCAGUGUUGACAAUUAAGGCUGACCAGGACAGUAGAUUAAAUAACUUUAAGAUUAAUUUCACCUCUUGUUACAUGUGGCUUUUGAAUAUUUUAAUAUUUAAUAUUCCUUGUGUCUUGUACCUCUUUUAUCCCCCCCC